rnacentral:lncRNA from 1 species
ACCGCAAACGCAGCUCAGCUCGGGAGGGGAGAAGGCUGAGUGGACCUGGGGUCUGGAAAACCUGUUGGCCCCGCCUGCCGGUUCACUGUCUUAUCUCCACCCACUGCUCCCCACCCAGUCACUGAAGACUCUGCCUCAAACGGUCCUGGGUUGUUCUUCCAAGUCACCUCCUUAGACCCAGCGAUGCAAGGCUUGUCCCCCACAAGUGAGCUCCAGCUCCUGAGAUCUUCAGGGCUCCUGCACGGGGAGUAUAGGAGUCUGUCCUCGUCGCCUCCGUGAUGUAGCAUGCGGAGGGCUACAGGGGACUGCAACUGGCCACGGGGACUGCAAGGCCAGAGCUGCGUUCCUGGCUCCAACAGCUGAUAAGCCUGUCACCGGUACCACAUCCACAGUGAGACCUGUGUUGGCUUCUCGAGCCCUUCAGGAACACCCUCCCAAAGAUGUCCCGGAGGCCCUGUGUGUAUCAUCUAAACUCUGUCCUCUGACCACAUUCUUUGCAGCCUCACACUUGGGCUGAUAACACUUGUGCCUGAUCCCGGGGGUGCCUCUGAGGCCUCCGAAGUUCUCCUGCUUCUCGGCAUCUCCAGGCCUCGUAUGGGAGACAUCCCAGGGUGGGGCAGGGUGCUGCAGUAAUAAAUGGAUGGAUCUAGA